rnacentral:rRNA from 1 species
UACGAAGGGUGCUAGCGUUGCUCGGAAUCACUGGGCGUAAAGCGCACGUAGGCGGAUUCUUAAGUCGGUGGUGAAAUCCUGGAGCUCAACUCCAGAACUGCCUUCGAUACUGAGAGUCUUGAGUUCGGGAGAGGUGAGUGGAACUGCGAGUGUAGAGGUGAAAUUCGUAGAUAUCGUGAGGAAGACCAGUGGCGAAGGCGGAUCUCUGGACAGUUCCUGACACUGAGGCACGAAGGCCAGGGGAGCAAACGGG